rnacentral:rRNA from 1 species
CCUACGGGAGGCAGCAGUAAGGAAUAUUGGUCAAUGGACGGAAGUCUGAACCAGCCAUGCCGCGUGCAGGAUGACGGCCCUCUGGGUUGUAAACUGCUUUUAUAGGGGACGAAAAAAGGGGAUUCUUCCUCACUUGACGGUACCCUAGGAAUAAGCACCGGCUAACUCCGUGCCAGCAGCCGCGGUAAUACGGAGGGUGCAAGCGUUAUCCGGAUUUACUGGGUUUAAAGGGUGCGUAGGUGGGUCGGUAAGUCAGCGGUGAAAUCUUCGAGCUUAACUCGGAAACUGCCAUUGAUACUAUCGAUCUUGAAUCGUCUAGAGGUAAGCGGAAUAUGUCAUGUAGCGGUGAAAUGCUUAGAUAUGACAUAGAACACCAAUUGCGAAGGCAGCUUACUAUGGAUGUAUUGACACUGAGGCACGAAAGCGUGGGGAUCAAACAGGAUUAGAUACCCUGGUAGUCCACGCCCUAAACGAUGGAUACUCGACAUUUGAGAUAUACUUUAAGUGUUNUGAGNGAAGACAUUAAGUAUCCACCUACGGAGGUACGANCGCGAGAGUAGUAACGUAACGAAAGGAAAGUUAGUACGGCGUGAGACGUAGACCGACGGACGACGACGAGGGAGGAGG